GAUGAAGAACGUAGUGAAAUGCGAUAAGUAAUGUGAAUUGCAGAAUUCAGUGAAUCAUCGAAUCUUUGAACGCACCUUGCACCCUUUGGCAUUCCGAAGGGUAUGCUCGUUUGAGUGUCAUUGUACUCUCACACUCCCACUCUUUUGGAUUGGGAGCGGUGGACUUGGGUGUUGCUGCUUCACUGUGGCUCGCCUCAAAUGGAGUAGUGCAACUCUCGGUUGGACAUAGUACGGCGUGAUAAGUGUCUUCGCCGGCGCCUCACUAGAGGGUGGCCGAUCGGGAGCUCUGUGCUUCAAACCGUCUUCGGACAAUCUCUGACAACUUGACCUCAAAUCGAGUAGGACUACCCGCUGAACUUAAGCAUAUCAAUAAGCGGAGGA
rnacentral:misc_RNA from 1 species